rnacentral:tRNA from 1 species
GCCUCCUUGGCGCAAUUGGUAGCGCACCGCACUUGUAAUGCGGGGGUUAGCGGUUCGAGUCCGCUAGGGGGCU